UGACCGGAUGCCGAUCUCGAAAACCUGUCCCAGUUCGGACUGGAGUCUGCAACCCGACUCCACGAAGUUGGAUUCGCUAGUAAUCGCGCAUCAGCCAUGGCGCGGUGAAUACGUUCCCGGGCCUUGUACACACCGCCCGUCAAGCCAUGGGAGCCGGGGGCGCCUGAAGUCCGGGACCGCGAGGACCGGCCUAGGGCGAAACUGGUGACUGGGGCUUAAGUCGUAACAAGGUAAC
rnacentral:rRNA from 1 species